GCCUGUUUAGCAUAGUGGCUAAUGCGUUGCACUUGUAUCCACUCACGAUAUGCAAAAAUCAUACGCUCGAUUCCUACAACAGGCA